rnacentral:rRNA from 1 species
UAGGGAAUCUUCCGCAAUGGGCGAAAGCCUGACGGAGCAACGCCGCGUGAGUGAUGAAGGUCUUCGGAUCGUAAAACUCUGUUAUUAGGGAAGAACAAAUGUGUAAGUAACUAUGCACGUCUUGACGGUACCUAAUCAGAAAGCCACGGCUAACUACGUGCCAGCAGCCGCGGUAUUACGUAGGUGGCAAGCGUUAUCCGGAAUUAUUUGGCGUAAAGCGCGCGUAGGCGGUUUUUUAAGUCUGAUGUGAAAGCACACGGCUCAACCGUGGAGGGUCAUUGGAAACUGGAAAACUUGAGUGCAGAAGAGGAAAGGGGAAUUCCAUGUGUAGCGGUGAAAUGCGCAGAGAUAUGGAGGAACACAAGUGGCGAAGGCGACUUUGUGGUAUGUAUCAGUCGCUGAUGUGCGAAAGCAUGGGGAUCAAACGGG